UGCUUGGUGAGUUCCUGAAAAUACUGCAAAUACUUGCACGGUGUAUGCAUUUGUCAGAGACAGAUUUGCUGAAGGAGAAGUGAGCAUUUUCUCCAUCUUUAAAAAGUUCUUGUGCAGUGCUUCAAUGGGCACCGCACAAACCAAUAGCAAUGGAUAAUUAAGUCAUGCUUUAGUUUUGGCCCGCCAAAGAUAACCAUGAUCGUCUCCCUUGCUUGUGACAAUGGUCACAAGCUGUGAAGAAGUAUCCCAUGGAGUGGUGCAGAGGGAAAAGAGGACAGAGGAGCCCUGCCAUGCUUCCUGAUUGCUGAUGCAUCCUUUUAGAGUGAGUCACACCUUGGUAAGUCAGGGCGAGCAGCCCCGUGGGAGGAGACGCAGGCUUUGUCCACAGGGCAAUGAAGAGGUUAAAGUGGUUCUUCAAGCUCAGGGUGUGACCUAUGAGGUGUCAUAUUAGCACAUCUGAUACCUGUACAUUAGUAUGAGCAGAACAAGUGAAAACCUGCUUUAGAGAAAUUAAAUUAAGCAGUUGAAGGGAACAGUCAUGUUAAUAAGGAGCUUCUAUAGAAAAAAAUCCUGAUAGUACAUUAUCUAUUUAUUCCUUUCAGUCACUCAAUUUUAUUUUAUCCUUCAUAAUUAAAAAGGAGACAAAAUCAAGUCUUUAAAAAUGAUCUGAUGCCAGUGUUUUGUGUAGACAAUAUUGGUGAAUGUCGGACUGGCUGUCUGUGUUCCCAGUCUCUGACAAUAUUUUAGCUUUCUUUUUAUUCAGCUCAAAAUAAAGAAGCACAGGGAGAGGCAGCAACAGGAGAGGUUGACCGAGGAGAGACUUCGGGGAGUUCCACCUGCUCUGAACCAGGGAAGGAGCACCUGGCAGCGGACAGGAUGGAAAAGCCCUUGAAGCUGGUGAGGAUCCUGCUGUCGCUCUGCUGCCUCCCCAUCGGUGCUACACCAGAGGCACGGGGAAACCGUGAUUAACUUUAAGAAUCUGACUUCAGCUGACCGAAGCCAGGCAAUUAAAGGUGCGUGCUGCAAACUUGACUAUCACCCCACAACAUUGUGACCAACGAAUGAAGAGGACUUUGGGCAAGAUAGGAUGCCACAUGACAGGCACUCACACGUACCCUACAAUGCUCGUGCAUAGUCUGGCUCCAGGAAGAAGGAGAUACAAAGGCAAAGUUUCAGCACUCCCCGAUUUUCCUUGAUAAAGCCAAACAGCUGUUUUAUUUGGUAAAUUUGGCAAUGUGGUUCUCCCAUGUAGUCCUAGGGAUAAAACUCACUCAGUUGCCUUUGUGUCUCGAGCAGCCUUAGGGAGCAGAUGCUGUUUGGCUUUCCUGGGCAGGAGGGGUGGCUGGGGAAGGCAGGGCUGGGGGCAGAGGCUGGACCAGGGGAUAGCAGGGGGAACAUAUCUGGGUGCUGAAGAGUAGUUUCACUGGUGCUCCAAGAAGCCAGUUACAAGGAUUCAGAUUGGGUUCCUUCCGUCUUGUCACUCUCUAUGAAAUUACGCAAGGUAUCAUAAGACUUGUUCCUCCAAGACGCUUGUUUAAUAUGUAAGCAAGUUAUUUCGGUAAGGUGUUAGACUACCUUCACUGCGGAAGUGCAGUAUCUGCCAAAACUCCCUUUUCUGUGAAACUGGACAGUUUUUUCAAACUAAACUAGUGUUUUUUCUUUUUCAUGGAUUUAUUCUUUCCAACUGAAGUUUCCAGAAAGUGAGCGACUUCUGAUUUGUUAAUUUUAGAAAAAAAUUCUACUUUUUCUAAAAGAAGAAAUUUAUGGCACCAGGAGCAACUUCUCAGUAAGGUCUGUUAAAUACAAACAACCUUCCUGGAACUGUUUGUCAGGCAGACAUAGACAUGACAGACCAACCAAAAACCUUUCUUUGAGGUAUCAAUCUGUUAGGUUAAUCUGCAGUGUAAGUAUGCAUUUUACUGUGUUGUUAAGCGAUAACAGAUACGAACUUGCCAUUUAAGGGAUAAGUUGAGUAUUUUUGAACCUCAGAGAUGGCUCAGUAAUUGAAGAGGUUAGAGUGUUUCGCAGUAUAGACCAUCUUUCACCGAAAGAUUAAGAAAUGCUUUAUAAAAGUUUGCAUUUUUAGAGUAUUUACAGCCUUUACUUAUCAGACCCUGGACUGUAUUUUCUGAUAAAGCCACUAACAGACCCAUGUGUGUAACUUCUUUUUUUUUUGCUUUUGCCAUUUAGUUAUGGAAUAUUAUUGAAUACAGCGUACCACAAAUAGCUGUACAACUACAUCAAGCUAUCUGCAGUUACCACAGCUAUACCACAAUAUAAGUAUGUGUGCAUAUUGCUCUCUCUCUGUGUCUAUGUGUGUGUGCAUACACAGGCAUACAGAUACAACACAGCACUAUAAUCUGCCUGUGCAUAUAUGUACUAAGCAUUUAAAGUUAUAUAUGCUCAUGUAGGUGAAAAACUACUGACAAAGUUUCGUGGUAACAGUCUUGCGUACGAUGGUCAACAUACCGCUCCUUCCCACAAUUUCAUAAUUACAGUAAUAAAAGAAAAAAAGGCUUACACAGCCAGGAAACAAAAGAGAAAAACCUCAGGCUGGUUACCACUUUUGUAGUGACUAUAUGUUCACACAUAUAAGCACACACAUGCAGUUUCUGAUAAAACGAGUUGUUUCUCAAAAGACAGAGAGAGAAAAAAGAGAGGCCUGAUGAAACCCUCAAGUUCUUCUUGAAAUUACACCUAUACCUGUUGUCGUUUUCAGGAAAUCCACUUUGUUUAGUUCAUAAACUUGUUUUGACUUUUCAGUGGAAACAGUUCGCUGGCACUACUUCCUUAACUGUGGGCCAAAUUCUGACCUCAGUUUCAUGCAGCUCUCGCUGCAGUCAAUAUAGGUUGGCCAUGUAAGGCAGGGUAGUUUACGGCUGUUUACAAUUACAAGAGCGCUGAAAGGUGUUUUGUUGUCAUUACCGCUUGCAUUGCUAGAACUGUGUCUGAAGAUGUCUGUUUUAGGCAGCAUUCAGACCACAGGUACGGUUAGCCUAAAAUUCUCAGAAAUAUUGAAGUGCAUACACAGGAAAACAGAAGAGGAGGAAUCAACAAAAGGGAUUUCAUUUUAGCUGAAUACACUGUGUGGCAUCUUGAUUUUAUACUGAUGCGCCAAAGUAUUGACAUGUAAUGAUUUUGGUGUAAAUCACAUGCUUUGAUGUGCAGAAAAGUUAUGGAGCAUUUUAUAUGAAGUAAUAAUAUUAAGUAAUUCUAUUGAACUAAUCACCAGUUAAUCUGACAUUUUAUGAAAUAAGUAACACUAAAUGUGACACGAGGGCAGCUUUUAUGGACUUAAACUUUAAUCAAUUGUAUGGGAGUCAAAGGUGUCAUUUUUGCUGAUGGUGGUGAACGGAGGAUGAUGGCAUUUGCUAAAGAGUUUCUUGGCUUCAUUAUUCUAGGUUGAAUGAUUGCUCCCAGGCAAACUGGGAAAAGCUGCCUGUGUUCUUAAUGAUAAGACGCUAUAAGAUUGACAAAAAAUAUAUCCAUGUUAUUUUUCAUUACAGCUACUUGAUAUUACUAAGUAUGUGCCUAUUUUACAGGCCCUGAUUUGCAGCCCCGCAACCGGUGCUGCAGUUUGGCUUUACAUUAACCUGGGGUUCAGACUUAUACUUGAUGCUAAAUUCAUUGCCUGUCCCCAGCGUCUACUUUUGCCUCUCAGUCUGAUUUGAGUCAGGAGAGAGGCAGAAGUUCCCCAGGCAAUUCAGGUACAGGUUUAGGGCUGGUUUUCCCUGAAGGUGAUAUGGAUGCCACUGACUCAAGCUGCUUGGUUCUGCAGAUGCAAACCCAAAGGCAGUAUGGAUCUAUGACUUACAUUAGGUCUCCUUGACUUUACUCCAGAAGUAAAUAGUUGCCUCAAGGGCCAGCUGAUCCACACAGGACUUUCCUUCUGUCCUUUCUUCCUGAAAAUAUUUGGUAAUUUUGUGCAGCCUGUUAUUUGUAGAAUGAGGUUCCAACGCCCCACCUUUGGCUCUUGUCAUUUCUCGGAGUUUUGUGGUGUAUGUUUAUGUGUCCUGACUGUAAAAUCAGAAUGGCAUGACUUAAAUUUGUAAGAAAAUGCUCACAGUAUAGUAUAGAAACAUAAAUACACCACAUGUGAGAAUAUAUAGUUAUGUCAGAGUCAGUCAUGCUGUUCCUUUAUCAUGUUCCAUAUUCACAAGUUGGUGGAAUUCAUCCCUGUGAUUCACGUUACAUCCAGCGUUUUUGUCUAAUGGGUGACAAAAUGGAAGAAUAAAAUUGGAAUAAAGACUUCAACAAGAAAAAGCAAGUAGAUUAGAUUUGGGUUGGGUGUUUGGUUUUUGUGUGUGUGUGUGUGUGUUUGGUGGUUUUUUUAAAUGUGAAAAGAGAGAUUAAUUUUCAGUUACUUAGUUUUAUGUUACAGAUCACUGGCACAGCAGUUUGGAGAAGCUUGUAUGAAAACUGUCUGCACAAGCCCAGCCCAACUCACUGCUAAAAGUUAUUAAUUCUUUUAGAAAUUUCUAGAAAGAAAAUUAAUAACUUGCUCAGACAUAUCCUAUCUGAUGUUUUUGGAACAUUCUGUACCACAGAUGUGGCCAGGAACAAACUAUGAGUUACAUCAUUGAGGACUAUUCCCAGAUCAGGUUGGAUUGGGCUCUAAAUUACAUGAAUUCCUUCAGCAAGAAUUCUAAGGCUUGGUCAGACCAGAAGGACAUACAUUAAUAAUAGUGAUAAGCCCCUUUCUGCAGCCAGUUUUUAAAUCUGGGUCCAACAUUCCCAGGCCAAUAGUACUGUUGUGAAUGAAGUUAUUGUGCUGAAUUUGGUCAUGUAGCAUGCCACUCUUGUGCCAUGCCAUUCCUCCAGUAGACUCUAGCAGCUGCCAGGCAAGAGGAGAUCAUGUCUGCAGAGAGCGAGAUGCCAACCCUCCCUAACACUGGUUUAGAGAUUGUGAUAAAAGAGAAUGAAAAAAUACCAACCGAGCACAUGGGUUAAUGGCUGCUAUUUUAGUCCCUUGGGGCCAUUGCCAGCUGCCAUUAAGUCAAAGUAGCCCUCAGGCUCUACUUGGUUUCAUGAUGAAUAAUUUAGGUUUUCCUGGUGCAGAGCCAGGUUGCAUUGGCUUUGUAUGGCAGAUUCCACAGAUCUCCACUGUGAGCACGGGACUGUAAAUAUAUGGUGGCACAUACUAGUGCAAUGGAUCAACCAACAGCAGCAGUAGCAAACUUUACGAAGCAGAGAUUCUGCACAUCCUUAGAGAUGUAUUCCUUCUGAUACAGAUGCUCUUCAGUUUUGUGGAACCACUUACUUACUGCUAGUCAAAAUCUUCGGUAUCUUUGGUAUUUAUUUUAAGGAGUUAACUACAGGACUGGAUAUUUUCUACCCACUGAAAAAGUAGUUCAUAUCUGAAUAAAUAACUGAAAAUGGUUUCUCACUGUUCAGGAAGUACAAUCAAUUUGAAAUUAGGAUUAUGGAAACAUCUGUGAAAAUUCAAGUGUCAUCUCAAUUUGGGCUCAUUCAGAUCCUGUAUUUUUUCUACUUCCCAAGCAGUGCAUUUAAAAUCUAAUCCUAAUUAACACACAUAGUUUAAUUAUAGCCAA